GUCUGUGGCCAUACCGCCUGAAUGUAUACAAUCUUGCCCGACCUUGGAAGCUAAGCAGGGUUGGGCCUGAUCAGUGCUUGGAUGGGAGGAGACUGGUCCUGGCCAGGGGCU
rnacentral:rRNA from 1 species